rnacentral:rRNA from 1 species
UACGUAGGGUGCGAGCGUUAAUCGGAAUUACUGGGCGUAAAGCGUGCGCAGGCGGUUGUGCAAGACAGAUGUGAAAUCUCCGGGCUCAACCUGGGAAUGGCAUUUGUGACUGCACGGCUAGAGUGUGUCAGAGGGGGGUAGAAUUCCACGUGUAGCAGUGAAAUGCGUAGAGAUUUGGAGGAAUACCGGUGGCGAAGGCGACCCCCUGGGAUAAAACUGACGCUCAGGCACGAAAGCGUGGGUAGCAAACAGG